UGUCCAGUAGCACCUUAGAGACCAACUAAGUUUGUUCUGGGUAUAAGUUGGUCUCUAAGGUGCUACUGGACA